rfam:Macrostomum lignano unitig_39435, whole genome shotgun sequence.
CGUAGUUUAUGAUGAACAAUUCUUACCUACAUUGUUUGAUUUGACAAUUUGAUAGUAGAUGUUUAUACUGAGCUAACUCUG